AGCCAGCUGCUAAUUUGGUUGAAACAUCUUUUCCCUUCAUUUCUUGUGAAUGAAACAGAACUGCCCUCUCCAGGCUUCCUUCCUGACGCAGGAGCAUCAUGUCCUACUGGCUGUGCCCACCACACUCAGCACCUCUGUGCAUUGAAUUUAGAGCUU
rnacentral:lncRNA from 1 species